UUGCUGGAAUGCCACGUGGAGCAUAAAAUCCAUUGACACAUAAAGUUAUUAGUAUUAUUAUUUAUUUAAUUAAAUUAAACAGAGAAAAGGAAGACGUUUGGCUCUUUUGAGCUAAGCGUCUUUUGUAGUUUUAAGGCCAUCACUUAAAUAUUAGGUUUUAAUAACAUCUAGUGAUCAACUUCAAAUACAUACACCCUAAUUAAAUGAAAUGCAUUACAAAGCAGCACAUUCGCAAAAAAAUUGCGUAGAAUGUGCUAUUUGUCGUUAAAAAAAUCUUUACUUCCCUUUUGU
rnacentral:scRNA from 1 species